UCCGGAUCUCAGAGCUGGCCCGGGAGCCCCGGGGGCCCAGAGAACGCAAGGAGGAUGGCUCAGCGGACGGAGACCCUGUGCAGAUUGACUUCAUCGACAGCCACGUCCCCGGGGAGGAUGAAGAGCGAGGCACUGUGGAGGUGAGAGCCCAGCUAUGCCUCUCCCAAGGGAGGGGAGCUGGAGGAGGGGACAGGGCAGGCGUGGGCACAGGCCUGCCCUCAGCUGCUCUGCUGUUCUCUCCUUAGGAGCAGCGACCACCUGAAUUAAGCCCUGGGGCAGGGGACAGGGAGAGGGCACCAAGCAGCAGGUACCCCAAGCCCCCAAACUGACGCCACUGCCCGAUCCUCCCACCCCCCAGCCGCCUCCUUCCCUGACCCCGGGGUCUGCCCCUCUUGCCCUGUCUUGGUCCCUCAGGCGGGAGGAGCCGGCAGGGGAGGAGCGGCGGCGCCCGGACACCUUGCAGCUGUGGCAGGAGCGGGAACGGCGGCAGCAGCAGCAGAGCGGGGCGUGGGGGGCCCCGAGGAAGGAUAGGUGGGACCCAGGGCCGCCCGGGGCUGUUGCUGGACACUGAGCCCUGGAAAUGGGGCCACCGAGCCCCGCUGAGCCGUUCUGCCUUGGGGCUAGCUGACCCCACCUCUCCUUGUUCCAGCCUCUUGAAGCCAGGGCUCAGGGCUGUUGUGGGAGGGGCCGCCGCCGUGUCCACUCAAGCCAUGCACAAGUAGGUUUCCUGCCAGCAUCCCCUCCCCACUUCUCUUCCUAUGACCAUCCCUCUUAAUUCCCUUCUGUCUCUCCUCAGCGGCCCGCCUAAGUCCAGUGC
rnacentral:sRNA from 1 species